AGUAUACAUAUACAUAUAAAAAAGUACAUCAAAAUUAACUAAAAAUUUUAGCUUACAUUCAUCCCUCUAAUCUAAACAUUGUUAAAAUCCUUAUUGUUCCUUUUGGCAAAAAUUGGGAAAAACAUUUAAAUUAAGUAAAAAUUUAAGAACAUAAUACACUAAUAGUUACAAAAGUUCCAACUUUAAUCAUUAUAUAUCAAAAUUAAGUAAAAUUUUAACACGAAAUAGGAAUAGAACUCUUCAUCAAAAUUAAUAUGUCGGAGAUUAUAAAGGUGGUUUAUACUCCUGCUUCACGAGGACAUGUAAUUUGUCAGGAUGACCGUGUCGGAGAUUGAAUUAGGCAUUUCUAAUAAUUUGAAUUGUGUGCCUACUGUUAAGGCGAAUUGAUCAGUGUUAAGUAAUGAAAAUAAUGACUGAUGUAGAACGGUUUAACACUAGAUAUGUGAGAGAGAAUUCAGUCUCUUUUCCUUCUGGAAGUCAACCAUACAGCACGUUGAGACUCGCUGCACAAAAUUAGUGGAAAAAUGGAAUCAACGAUUCAGGAAACCCUGAAUUCCUCUCUUCGCCGAUAUCAGAAGUGGAGUCUAACUCAAGACCAACAAUAAAUGAGGAGCAGUUUCGCAAUUUAUUAGAACAACAAAAUCGAAACUUUUGGGAGAUAGCAAAAACUUUUCGUGCAUCGCCUAGUGAAUCUCGACAAGAUGGUGAAAUUGUUCUACCGAAAUUUAACUCCGACGCUGCUGGAGCCAACUCCACGCAAUGGUGUGCUACGGUGGCUUGGCUCUCGCGAAUGUCUAAAUACGUCACUUUUAACAAAAUGGCGUGGCAUGGAUCAUGAGCAAAUUGCUACAUCGGUUGUUCUUGGUCAUUUGGCAAACUAUGACAGCAGACUACAACGAAUUGCGUACACACUGACUAUUCGCAGCAGACGAGACUUACGGUCCGAGUUACAAGUCUUUUCGUUUGACAAUAAGCGGUCCAGCUCUUCAGACGAUUAUUCAAUUGCAAAGCGUGCUAAAACGUUGCCAAUCAAAUGUUACUCAUGUGGGAAGCUUGGACACAGGAAGUCGGAAUGCUGAGGGCAGAAACCUUCUACAUCUGGAGAAGAUCAGCGAGCUUCGUCAGUGCGUGCUAAAGUCGUGACAUGCUAUCGAUGUCACGAGCCGGGACACAUCUCUACUCAAUGCCCCAAGAGUUCGGAUGGUGUCGCACGAUCACGUGUUCAUAAGAGGGUUAACCUAUGUGUCGUUGAAGAACCAAAAGCAAUUAUGUUUCACCGAGGUGAGAAUUUUCCGAUUAUAUUUGAUUCAGGCGCAGAAUGCUCGUUAGUCAAAGAGAGCAUAGCACACAAACUGUCUAGGAAAAGAACAAAUAACGUAAUAUCAUUAAGUGGAAUUGGUAAUGUUAGUGUAGUUUCGUCAAUUCAAAUCACAAGUAAUGUAAUGAUAAAUGGAAAUUGUAUCGAAGUAGUAUUUCAUGUACUCGAAGAUAAUAAUAUGAAAAAUAAUAUUGUAAUUGGCCGCGAAAUUUUAGCACAAGGACACUCUGCUAUAGUAUCAUCAGAAGGUGUGGAAAUAAUUAAAGACAAAACAGUUAACGAAUGUUCUGUAAAAAGUUACGAAAAUGAUUUUAAUAAUUUAGCAACUGAAGCACAGGGAGAAGAUAAAAAUCAAUUGUUAAGAUUGUUAAGAAAGCAUUCAAAAUCAUUCAUUCGCGGAACUUCUUUAACUCGCGUAACUACUGGUGUAAUGUCAAUUCGAUUAGUAGAACCCACCAAGACUGUGCAAAGACGCCCUUACAGACUCAGUCCCAGUGAAAGAGAAUUACUCCGGUCAAAAGUUCAAGAGCUAAUAGAUUAUAAUGUAAUAAGGCCGAGCUAGUCCAGCACUUUUAGUAAAAAAGAAAAACGGAUCUAUCAGAUAGCAAGAUUGCGUGGAGCAAGAUACUUUACUUGCUUGG